UCCUCAGGUCGGAGUUCCAGCUGCUUCCAGCCCCAGCAAGUCAGCUGGGCUGGACGGAGGGGGCCCUACAUUUUGUCACUGUUGGGCUGGAGAACCUCCUCUGAGAGAGCAGAUACUUUGAUGAAGUGAUUAGUACAGAUAGAAAGAUACAUUUGUCGGGUGGUGGCUUUUAGAAAAAUAUUUUAACAGAAAACAAAGAAAUUGUCUUGACCCAGGUUGUACUGUGAAACUUUGCAACAAAUGCCUUUGCUUUCUUUUACUUCAGUAUCCUUUCCCCCUUUUUCUUUUAAGGAGCCCUUAGGGAAACCAUGAAGUAACCCUGCACAUUCCAGUAACACAGUUAUGACAAAAUAGAGCCCAAGUAUGAAGUGAUCAAUUUUUUUUGUAAAUGUUAAGAAAGAAAAACAGCAGAAACAAAAGUGCACAUAACAAUUCAAGAUUUCUUUUUAAAAAAAAGAAAGUAACUUACCUGUUGGGACAUUCUGAAUAAAAGAUUGUGACUCCCCGAGCUUGCCUUUGCUCAGUUUAACAGCUGCCUGUCAGGUGUGCAGGCAGCACUGGAGACCCAACCAUCAGCUUCAAACUCUCAGCCACUGCAUGUCAUUGGAUAGCAGAGCUAAGAGUCAACUGCACCGUUCCACUGUCAGGCACCAAAUGACACCCUGCACUAACCCCUCUCCAGACACACUGAGAGAUACACAUUUCUGCACGCUCCAAGCAGCACCAGGAUCACAGACCGACGGUGCACGGGGUGAGGAGAAGCUGGGGCCCUUCCCAGGGAAUUUCCCCCAACAAUGCUUUCAGGUUAAGGAAUUGCAAAUACUAAAGGCCAUGUGUUGGCUUUCCCACGUUGACUGAUAGGGAGAGAUGUACCAUGAAAAUUAAGUAGUACACCAACUAGGUCUAAAUGGCACCCACGAUAUUCAAGACAAUAUGGGAAUGGGAAUACUUCCACCUCACCAAAACUCGUGCACAGAGUAAGAAACUCCCAUGCAGUUUACAAUGUAAAAACAGACUGGAGAACUGAAGAAAAAGAUAACAUUUUGAAAGUGAUUUCUGAUGUUUAUGAUGUUCAACAUUUAAACUGUAUUUUCACAGAACUUCAAUAAAAUCCAACUUAUUGAUUGCUGUAAACAAACAUCUCCCCCUUACUUUUGAUACUUACUAAGCACUUCAUAGCGCAUGUUGAGUAAAACUGUAAAAAAACAGUUAGACAUAUGUAUUUUAAAACUAUACUAUAGAUGCUGAUGUUUUGGAUAAUAAUUAAAAGUUGUAAUUACAGAGAAUUUUUUAAAAAUCUUUUUGCAUAUAACUACAUACUGUGCAUGUACCAUCAAUGAGAUCCAAUUAGUUGCAAAGAAUUUGCAUUUCAGUGUGUGUGGGAUAACAAGACUAUAGGGAGGCACAAUGCAAUUCCACCAGCAGAGUAAGACAGUGGGUUCUUUCUUGUUAGCUCUGUAAGCAAGAAUUCCCACAACUGACUGUUUAAAAUGUUACUGAUCUUUUCAUUAUUUGGGUAUUGAGGUGGGUUUAGGUCCCCCCC